rnacentral:lncRNA from 1 species
AAUAGCCAAUGCAAAACAAAAGAAGAUCAAAGUUGGAGGACUCAACAUUCCAAUUUCAAGACUUACUAUAAAACUACAGUAAUCAAAGCAGCAUGAUACUAGCCAAAGAAUAGACAUGUAUAUCAAUGGGAUAGAAUACAGAAUCCAGAAACAGAGCUCCCCAGAUACAGUGAUACAGUUUGGUUCUGUGUCCCCACCCAAAUCUCACCUUGAAUUGUAAUAA